rnacentral:rRNA from 1 species
UACGAAGGGUGCAAACGUUGCUCGGAAUUAUUGGGCGUAAAGCGCACGUAGGCGGCUUGGCAAGUCGGAUGUGAAAUCCCCGGGCUCAACCUGGGAAUGGCAUUUGGGACUGCAAGGCUGGAGUGCGGCAGAGGAGACUGGAAUUCCUGGUGUAGCAGUGAAAUGCGUAGAUAUCAGGAGGAAUACCGAUGGCGAAGGCAGGUCUCUGGGCUGACACUGACGCUCAUGCACGAAAGCGUGGGGAGCAAACAGG